GAUGAACGCUGGCGGCGUGCCUAAUACAUGCAAGUCGAGCGAACAGACGAGGAGCUUGCUCCUCUGACGUUAGCGGCGGACGGGUGAGUAACACGUGGAUAACCUACCUAUAAGACUGGGAUAACUUCGGGAAACCGGAGCUAAUACCGGAUAACAUGUUGAACCGCAUGGUUCAACAGUGAAAGACGGUCUUGCUGUCACUUAUAGAUGGAUCCGCGCCGCAUUAGCUAGUUGGUAAGGUAACGGCUUACCAAGGCAACGAUGCGUAGCCGACCUGAGAGGGUGAUCGGCCACACUGGAACUGAGACACGGUCCAGACUCCUACGGGAGGCAGCAGUAGGGAAUCUUCCGCAAUGGGCGAAAGCCUGACGGAGCAACACCGCGUGAGUGAAGAAGGUCUUCGGAUCGUAAAACUCUGUUAUUAGGGAAGAACAAAUGUGUAAGUAACUAUGCACGUCUUGACGGUACCUAAUCAGAAAGCCACGGCUAACUACGUG
rnacentral:rRNA from 1 species